rnacentral:rRNA from 1 species
GAUGAACGCUGGCGGCGUGCCUAAUACAUGCAAGUCGAGCGAUGAAGCUUGGAACUUGUACCGACUGGGUGAGCGGCGAACGGGUGAGUAACGCGUGGAUAAUCUGCCUAUGAGCGGGGGACAACAUCGGGAAACGAAUGCUAAUACCGCAUAAUAACUUUAACCACAAGGUUCAAGAGUGAAAGAUGCAUUUGCAUCACUCAAAGGUGAGACCGCGUUGUAUUAGCUAGUUGGUGAGGUUAAGGCCCACCCAGGCGAAGCUACCUAGCCGGCCUUGAAGGGUGAUCGGCCACCUUUGGACCUGGACACGGCCCCAACUCCUACGGGGGGCAGCCGUAGGGGAUCUUCGGCCAUGGACGGAAGUCUUACCGGGCAACGCCGCGUGGGUGGAGAAGGUUUUCGGAUCGUUAAACUCUGUUGGUAGAGAAGAACGUUGGUGAGAGUGGAAAGCUCAUCAAGUGACGGUAACUACCCAGAAAGCGACGGCUAACUACGUG